rnacentral:rRNA from 1 species
AUACGGAGGAUCCGAGCGUUAUCCGGAUUUAUUGGGUUUAAAGGGUGCGCAGGCGGGAGAUUAAGUCGGCGGUGAAAAUUUGCCGCUCAAAUGUAAAAGGGCCUUCGAAACUGGGUUCCUUGAGUGUAGAUGAAGUAGGGGGAAUUUUUGGUGGAGCGGUGAAAUGCAUAGAUAUCACGAGGAACUCCGAUUGCGCAGGCAGCUUACUAAACUACUACUGACGCUCAGGCACGAAGGCGUGGGGAUCAAACAGGAUUAGAUACCCUGGUAGUCCACGCAGUAAACGAUGAUUACUAGCUGUUUGCGAUACAAUGUAAGCGGCUGAGCGAAAGCGUUAAGUAAUCCACCUGGGGAGUACGUUCGCAAGAAUGAAACUCAAAGGAAUUGACGGGG